UAAGCAGCUCCUCACGGAUGCGCUUUCCAGCAGGAGCCGAGGGGGGCCGCACACCUUGGGAGGAAGCGGGCGCGGCAGCAGCUGGACGGAUACAGCCCGAAGCCCCCCGCGGUUUGUCAACAGCUGCUCCUCUCCUGCGUGGUGCUCGCAGUGGCGGCGAAUGCCCAGCAGAGGCCGCUGUGGCCCGAGCGUCCGGGCCGGGCUCUGAUCCAGACCUACAGGGAGCGUGAAAUGCGGACGAGACCGCGAGGGCUCCGUGCCAAAGAAGAGUGUCGAACAUCGCGCCGAUGUUUUUAGGUCAUGAUGUCUUCAUCGGUGUUCAGAGGAGGCCAGCUGGGCCACACAGCAGCAGCCUGAUGACUCCGAGUGAGCCGCGGCCUUGGGUCUGGACAUCUUCUUGCCAUGCAGUGCCAUUGGCUAAGAGCCCCUCGUUGGCAAGGCAUCGAGAAUCCAUCUCCUUAAGGCCUGGCGCUGGCACGGUAUUAGAUAAACAGGUUGUGCUCUGUGUGUUUGUUUCACAUGAGCAGCAACUGAAGUGCCUGUGUUGGGAUAUGGGACCCUGGUGUCAGAAGCACAUACCUAGCAGAGGAGACUCACACUUGGGAGUAAGACGCUCACACUUCAAGGGACACCCGGGAAGUGGAGAGCACAUGGGGAAGACUUGAGUCCAGCCCCAAGGCUUGCUCCACUCCAGACCAGCAACAUAUGGAUAGGAAGAAUCUCACUGGUGAUGUAAACUCGAUUCUCUUUCUGUU
rnacentral:lncRNA from 1 species